CAGAGUUAGACAGUGAGAGAGAGACAGAAAGGUCUGCCUUCCAUUGGUUCACUCCCUAAAGGGCUGCUACGGCCGGCGCACUGCGCCGAUCCGAAGCCAGGAGCCAGGUGCUUCCUCCUGGUCUCCCAUGUGGGUGCAGAGGCCCAAACACCUGGGCCACACUGCCUUCCUGGGCCACAGCAGAGAGCUGGAGUGGAAGAGGAGCAACCAGGGCUAGAACCUGGCACCCAUAUGGGAUGCCGGCGCUGCAGGUGGAGAAUUAACCAGGUGAGUCACGGUGCCGACCCCCAGGGGUAGAUUUUUAUUUGUUUAGUCCCAUGUUCUAGUUCUAGUCCCUGGAAUAUUUCUGGCACAUAGCAGGGGCUCAAUAGCUAUUUGGUGAAUGAGUGGUCACUUUAAAUGCUUUCUCUCUUAUUUUCAUAGAACCCUGAAAGCCAGUGAAUGUAUUUUAGAGAUGAAGCAGCCAAGAUGUGGAUAGUUAUGUGGCAGAGUGGACAGUGAGAGACAGAGAGGACAGAGAGACAGAGAAAAAGGUGAAGAAGUCCAUAUGAAUGAAUGGGCUGUGCCAGCAAUAGGAACUGGAACGAAGCAGACCUUGCAGGGAGAGAAAGGUGAGUAGUCAAGGCAGAGCUACCCAGAGCCGAGCCCUGGAGAGGCCCCGCCCUGGCCC